ACAGCAGUCGCCGCGGUAAUACGAAGGGGGCUAGCGUUGUUCGGAUUUACUGGGCGUAAAGGGCGCGUAGGCGGACUGGUAAGUCAGGGGUGAAAUCCCAAGGCUCAACCUUGGAACUGCCUUUGAUACUGUUUGUCUUGAGUUCGAGAGAGGUAAGUGGAACUGCGAGUGUAGAGGUGAAAUUCGUAGAUAUUCGCAAGAACACCAGUGGCGAAGGCGGCUUACUGGCUCGAAACUGACGCUGAGGCGCGAAAGCGUGGGGAGCAAACAGGAUUAGAUACCCCCGUAGUCCCUGUCUCUUAUAC
rnacentral:rRNA from 1 species